CACAUUCACAAAGAGAGAGAGAGAGAGAGAGAGAGAGAGUGAGAGCAUACAGUUCGCAGCAUAUUUCGUCGUUUAGAUAUAUAUACAUAAAUGCAACACACAGAGUAACACAUACAAA